rnacentral:lncRNA from 1 species
AAUGUCUAGAGGGAAAUAAGUAUGUAAGUAACACAUAGAACAUGUCAUUCCUACUUUCCUUAUUUAAGGCACAGAACACCUAUCGAUGUCAUGUGAAACACAACCAGAUAACACAUGUUGGAAACAUGCUUCACCAUCCAUGGCUUGAGACAGGGCAUCGUGGACCACAGGGUGAAGAGGAAGACGCCUUACACAGUGGGAAAAAAGGAGCAAACAUAAUCAACUCUCAGUCAUUUGGUGCUUCAUUGGCUGGAACUCCCUCUCAGCAAGAGCCACGUUUUCCUGGUUUGAUGAUACUGAUGAUGAGAACCACAAGGAUUUAAUGGCAAGAGAAGAACAAGUGGCGCUGGGGUUUGUUUGACCAUCAAAUGGAGAAACAACCUCAGAGCAAGACGUGGCUUACAGCAUCACCACCAGGGAGUGGAGGAGCAGUGCCUAGCAGCGUGUAAUUGACUGCAACAAUAUCACACCAUCCUCUCCCUCCGUGCUAAACUUGUCCAGGGAGAAGCAAAGCUGGCAGGGGUGUGACUGGUUAGUUUUGAGUUUCGGGGGGAAGGAAGCUCAUGGGUGGGCGGACUAUCAGAGAAGCAUUCGCAGUGUGUAGCAGGGGCUGGACAGUGCCCAUGCAGUCCCAAAUCCCCGUGCUGGUCUGCUGGAACCCUCCUACCCACCACGCACAGCU